CUACCACGGCUAACGACCUCCACCUGCCCGGGUUUGUUUAGAGUUUGCUCUCCUAGGUGAAUUGCCUACCACGGCUAACGACCUCCACCUGCCCGGGUUUAUUGUUCGGAGUUUGCUCUCCUAGGUGAAUUGCCUCCCACGGCUAACGACCUCCACCUGCCCGGGUUUGUAUAGAGUUUGCUCUCCUAGGUGAAUUGCCUACCACGGCUAACGACCUCCACCUGCCCGGGUUUAUUGUUCGGAGUUUGCUCUCCUAGGUGAAUUGCCUCCCACGGCUAACGACCUCCACCUGCCCGGGUUUGUAUAGAGUUUGCUCUCCUAGGUGAAUUGCCUACCACGGCUAACGACCUCCACCUGCCCGGGUUUGUAUAGAGUU